rnacentral:tRNA from 1 species
UCCCCAGUGGCGCAAUUGGUUAGCGCACGGUACUUAUAAUGCCGUGGUUGUGAGUUCGAGCCUCACCUGGGGGA